GAAAGCCACCCUGUGGCAGUCGAGUAUUAGCAAAGUUACUUCAGGCCUUUAAUGUUGGAUUUUCCUGUCACCACAAAGCAGAAUUCACCAAGUGUUGGUUGGUUCACUCAUUAACAGUGGACACCAGCUGGGUUUAGGUUGCCAUUAAACAAGUU
rnacentral:ncRNA from 1 species